UUAUGUUAUGAAGAUUGACAAAAUGUUCAACUGCUCUGAAUAGGCUGAGUGAAAUAGCCUUUCUGAACAUCC
rnacentral:snoRNA from 1 species